rnacentral:rRNA from 1 species
AAAUUGAAGAGUUUGAUCAUGGCUCAGAUUGAACGCUGGCGGCAGGCCUAACACAUGCAAGUCGAGCGGUAACACAGGGAGCUUGCUCCCGGGUGACGAGCGGCGGACGGGUGAGUAAUGUCUGGGAAACUGCCUGAUGGAGGGGGAUAACUACUGGAAACGGUAGCUAAUACCGCAUAACGUCGCAAGACCAAAGAGGGGGACCUUCGGGCCUCUUGCCAUCAGAUGUGCCCAGAUGGGAUUAGCUAGUAGGUGGGGUAACGGCUCACCUAGGCGACGAUCCCUAGCUGGUCUGAGAGGAUGACCAGCCACACUGGAACUGAGACACGGUCCAGACUCCUACGGGAGGCAGCAGUGGGGAAUAUUGCACAAUGGGCGCAAGCCUGAUGCAGCCAUGCCGCGUGUAUGAAGAAGGCCUUCGGGUUGUAAAGUACUUUCAGCGGGGAGGAAGGUGUUGAGGUUAAUAACCUCAGCAAUUGACGUUACCCGCAGAAGAAGCACCGGCUAACUCCGUGCCAGCAGCCGCGGUAAUACGGAGGGUGCAAGCGUUAAUCGGAAUUACUGGGCGUAAAGCGCACGCAGGCGGUCUGUCAAGUCGGAUGUGAAAUCCCCGGGCUCAACCUGGGAACUGCAUUCGAAACUGGCAGGCUAGAGUCUUGUAGAGGGGGGUAGAAUUCCAGGUGUAGCGGUGAAAUGCGUAGAGAUCUGGAGGAAUACCGGUGGCGAAGGCGGCCCCCUGGACAAAGACUGACGCUCAGGUGCGAAAGCGUGGGGAGCAAACAGGAUUAGAUACCCUGGUAGUCCACGCCGUAAACGAUGUCGACUUGGAGGUUGUGCCCUUGAGGCGUGGCUUCCGGAGCUAACGCGUUAAGUCGACCGCCUGGGGAGUACGGCCGCAAGGUUAAAACUCAAAUGAAUUGACGGGGGCCCGCACAAGCGGUGGAGCAUGUGGUUUAAUUCGAUGCAACGCGAAGAACCUUACCUACUCUUGACAUCCAGAGAACUUAGCAGAGAUGCUUUGGUGCCUUCGGGAACUCUGAGACAGGUGCUGCAUGGCUGUCGUCAGCUCGUGUUGUGAAAUGUUGGGUUAAGUCCCGCAACGAGCGCAACCCUUAUCCUUUGUUGCCAGCGGUUAGGCCGGGAACUCAAAGGAGACUGCCAGUGAUAAACUGGAGGAAGGUGGGGAUGACGUCAAGUCAUCAUGGCCCUUACGAGUAGGGCUACACACGUGCUACAAUGGCGCAUACAAAGAGAAGCGACCUCGCGAGAGCAAGCGGACCUCAUAAAGUGCGUCGUAGUCCGGAUUGGAGUCUGCAACUCGACUCCAUGAAGUCGGAAUCGCUAGUAAUCGUAGAUCAGAAUGCUACGGUGAAUACGUUCCCGGGCCUUGUACACACCGCCCGUCACACCAUGGGAGUGGGUUGCAAAAGAAGUAGGUAGCUUAACCUUCGGGAGGGCGCUUACCACUUUGUGAUUCAUGACUGGGGUGAAGUCGUAACAAGGUAACCGUAGGGGAACCUGCGGUUGGAUCACCUCCUUACCUUAAAGAA